AGUGAACGCUGGCGGUAGGCCUAACACAUGCAAGUCGAACGGCAGCACAGUAAGAGCUUGCUCUUACGGGUGGCGAGUGGCGGACGGGUGAGGAGUACAUCGGAAUCUACUUUUUCGUGGGGGAUAACGUAGGGAAACUUACGCUAAUACCGUAUACGACCUACGGGUGAAAGCAGGGGAUCUUCGGACCUUGCGCGAUUGAAUGAGCCGAUGUCGGAUUAGCUAGUUGGCGGGGUAAAGGCCCACCAAGGCGACGAUCCGUAGCUGGUCUGAGAGGAUGAUCAGCCACACUGGAACUGAGACACGGUCCAGACUCCUACGGGAGGCAGCAGUGGGGAAUAUUGGACAAUGGGCGCAAGCCUGAUCCAGCCAUACCGCGUGGGUGAAGAAGGCCUUCGGGUUGUAAAGCCCUUUUGUUGGGAAAGAAAAGCAGCAGGUUAAUACCCCGCUGUUCUGACGGUACCCAAAGAAUAAGCACCGGCUAACUUCGUG
rnacentral:rRNA from 1 species